rnacentral:rRNA from 1 species
UACGUAGGGGGCAAGCGUUGUCCGGAUUUACUGGGCGUAAAGAGCGUGUAGGCGGCCAAACAGGUCCGUUGUGAAAACUGGAGGCUCAACCUCCAGACGUCGACGGAAACCGUGUGGCUAGAGUCCGGAAGAGGAGAGUGGAAUUCCUGGUGUAGCGGUGAAAUGCGCAGAUAUCAGGAAGAACACCAAUGGCGAAGGCAGCU